rnacentral:rRNA from 1 species
AACUGAAGAGUUUGAUCAUGGCUCAGAUUGAACGCUGGCGGCAGGCUUAACACAUGCAAGUCGAGCGGGGGAAGGUAGCUUGCUACUGGACCUAGCGGCGGACGGGUGAGUAAUGCUUAGGAAUCUGCCUAUUAGUGGGGGACAACAUCUCGAAAGGGAUGCUAAUACCGC